AACGACCGCUGGCGGCAUGCCUAACACAUGCAAGUCGAACGAAGGCUUCGGCCUUAGUGGCGCACGGGGGCGUAACGCGUGGGAAUCUGCCCCUCGAUUCGGAAUAACAGUUAGAAAUGACUGCUAAUACCGGAUGAUGACUUCGGUCCAAAGAUUUAUCGCCGAGGGAUGAGCCCGCGUAAGAUUAGGUAGUUGGUGGGGUAAAGGCCUACCAAGCCGACGAUCUUUAGCUGGUCUGAGAGGAUGAUCAGCCACACUGGGACUGAGACACGGCCCAGACUCCUACGGGAGGCAGCAGUGGGGAAUAUUGGACAAUGGGCGAAAGCCUGAUCCAGCAAUGCCGCGUGAGUGAUGAAGGCCUUAGGGUUGUAAAGCUCUUUUACCAGGGAUGAUAAUGACAGUACCUGGAGAAUAAGCUCCGGCUAACUCCGUGCCAGCCGCCGCCGUAA
rnacentral:rRNA from 1 species